ensembl:snRNA U6 U6 spliceosomal RNA
GCGCUCGCUUCAAUAGCACACAUAACUAAAAUUGGAACCACACAGAGAUGCAUGGCCCCGGAGCGAGGGUGACACACAAAUUCAUGAAGCGUUUUAUAUUUUA